UACGUAGGGUCCGAGCGUUGUCCGGAAUUAUUGGGCGUAAAGGGCUCGUAGGCGGUUUGUCACGUCGGGCGUGAAAACUCAGGGCUCAACCCUGAGCGUGCGUUCGAUACGGGCAGACUAGAGGUAGGCAGGGGAGAGCGGAACUCCUGGUGUAGGCGGUGGAAUGCGCAGAUAUCAGGAAGAACACCGGUGGCGAAGGCGGCUCGUCUGGGCCUUACCUGACGCUGAGGAGCGAAAGCGUGGGUAGCGA
rnacentral:rRNA from 1 species